rnacentral:ribozyme from 1 species
UGCCCAGCAAUUCCUAUCCUUACCUCCUCAUGGUACCGGCCGGAGCAACCUUAGGGAAGAUCGGGUAACCAACCCCGGUGGGAACUUUGGUCAUAAGCUGACAGGGAAGG